CGCAGGGGCCGGGUGCUCACCG
rnacentral:miRNA from 1 species